rnacentral:piRNA from 1 species
UGAAAGUUUCUCUGUGGUCUC